rnacentral:rRNA from 1 species
AACGAACGCUGGCGGCAGGCUUAACACAUGCAAGUCGAGCGCCCCGCAAGGGGAGCGGCAGACGGGUGAGUAACGCGUGGGAAUCUACCCAUCUCUACGGACCAACUCCGGGAAACUGGAGCUAAUACCGCAUACGUCCUUCGGGAGAAAGAUUUAUCGGAGAUGGAUGAGCCCGCGUUGGAUUAGCUAGUUGGUGGGGUAAUGGCCUACCAAGGCGACGAUCCAUAGCUGGUCUGGGAGGAUGAGCAGCCACACUGGGACUGAGACACGGCCCAGACUCCUACGGGAGGCAGCAGUGGGGAAUAUUGGACAAUGGGCGAAAGCCUGAUCCAGCCAUGCCGCGUGAGUGAUGAAGGCCCUAGGGUUGUAAAGCUCUUUCACCGGUGAAGAUAAUGACGGUAACCGGAGAAGAAGCCCCGGCUAACUUCGUGCCAGCCGCCGCGGUAACAC